UACGAGGGGGGCGAGCGUUGUUCGGAAUUAUUGGGCGUAAAGGGUGCGUAGGCGGUUCCGCAAGUCCUGUGUGAAAUCUUCGGGCUCAACUCGAAGUCUGCACGGGAAACUGCGGGGCUUGAGUGUGGGAGAGGUGAGUGGAAUUCCUGGUGUAGCGGUGAAAUGCGCAGAUAUCAGGAGGAACACCGGUGGCGAAGGCGGGUCUCUGGGCCGAUACUGACGCUGAGGAGCGAAAGCGUGGGGAGCGAACAGG
rnacentral:rRNA from 1 species